CAAGAGCGUAUAUUAAAGUUGCUGCGGUUAAAAAGCUCGUAGUUGGAUUUCAGUCUAGGAAGGUUAACUCGCCGAAAGGUUGUACGUUGAUUUUCCUCAGACUUCGUCAGAAGCUCGUGCUGCACUUAACUGUGUGGUACGAUGUUCUGACCUUUUACCUUGAGGAAAGUAGAGUGUUUCAGGCAGGCUACCCAGCUUGAAUACAUUAGCAUGGAAUAAUGAAAUGGAUCUCGGUUCGAUUUCGUUGGUUCUAGAGCUGAGGUGAUGAUCAAUAGGAACAGGCGAAGGUAUUCGUACUUGAGAGUGAGGAGUGAAAUCCGAUGAUCUCUUAAAGACGAUCCGAGGCGAAAGCAUUUGUCAAGGAUGUCUUCAUUGA
rnacentral:rRNA from 1 species